UCCUCGGUAGCUCAAUGGUAGAGCAUUCGACUGUUAAUCGACAGGUUGCUGGUUCGAGUCCAGCCCGAGGAGCCA
rnacentral:tRNA from 1 species